rnacentral:rRNA from 1 species
AGAGUUUGAUCCUGGCUCAGAACGAACGCUGGCGGCAGGCCUAACACAUGCAAGUCGAGCGCACCCUUCGGGGUGAGCGGCGGACGGGUUAGUAACGCGUGGGAAUAUACCCGACACUAAGGAAUAGCCACUGGAAACGGUGAGUAAUACCUUAUACGCCCUUCGGGGGAAAGAUUUAUCGGUGACGGAUUAGCCCGCGUUAGAUUAGAUAGUUGGUGGGGUAAUGGCCUACCAAGUCUACGAUCUAUAGCUGGUUUUAGAGGAUGAUCAGCAACACUGGGACUGAGACACGGCCCAGACUCCUACGGGAGGCAGCAGUGGGGAAUCUUAGACAAUGGGCGCAAGCCUGAUCUAGCCAUGCCGCGUGAGUGAUGAAGGCCUUAGGGUCGUAAAGCUCUUUCCCCAGAGAUGAUAAUGACAGUAUCUGGUAAAG